rnacentral:misc_RNA from 1 species
GCCAAGACCCAUAAUUGGACGGUACUUGUUUAAUCAAUUCUCAAUUCUCAUUUCGUUGUUGAAUUUGUUUAAUUUUAUAGGCAUAUAUUGCCUUUUUUUUUUCUAUUUUAUUUUGUUGGACUUGUAUUGUAUUGAUUUCUGCUGCUUUUGCUUUCGUUGAUAUUCAAAAUUGGUUUCUUGUUGAUUAUGUUGAUUUAGUAAGAAACAGUUAUGAAUGCUAAGAUCCUGUAUAGUUUUGAGUGGUAAGUGAAUUCUUCACUGUGCUGUGCUAUUUGAAUGCUUUCUUUAUGAUUCACAAGCUUAGUGCUCAUGUAAGCUUUUACAGCAAUAUUUACCGGAUCUGAACUUUAAAAUUAUCAAAUUAGCUUUAUAUAUUUCUUAGGUCUCCAUUUUCAUUGGCACAUUGGAUGCUGUAUUUCAUGAUAGAAAGGCUAUCAUUUAAAAUUUAUCAUGUAUCAGGCUUUAUUGGUAUUUGAAGCUCUGUUUCACUAACCCUUCAGGUUUGGUGUUGUUUAUAAUUUUGCAUUUUUUCCUUUAUUUCUGAUAUCUUUUAUUCUAUUGCAGGUGGAGGGUUUUAUAAACUUUGCGACUAAUGUUUGUAGAUUUUCAUGUUUUAAGUGCUGUUGAAUCCUAUUUGAUAAAAUCUCUACAUUUCUGAUAAAUUUUUCCCAAUGUCAAAAAUUUCCUUCCCAAAAUUCAUUGAUAAUUGCGUAUAAUUUUCUUAUUUCCAUAACAAACAUCAUCAAAUUUUCUGCGUUUUCUUUUAAUUGUCCUCAAGUGAGGCUUGCAACUGGAUCUCUUUUAUCUCUAGCAUCUAAUUAUCAAAGCAACCUAGGGUAAGACUUAGAUAUACAUACAGAUAAAUUUCUUCUUUCCGUAACCAUUCAUGCUUGGUGUGCAUGCUUUUGUGGCUGUUCUAACAGUUAUAGGCCACAUGAUUAUAUAAACCUUUUGGAGCAAAAUAUAACAGAACUGCUGAGAUAUUGAUAACGAGAAAAGCUUAAUCCUGAAACCUUAUAUAUAUAUAUAUAUAU